AGUGAACGCUGGCGGUAGGCCUAACACAUGCAAGUCGAACGGCAGCACAGUAAGAGCUUGCUCUUACGGGUGGCGAGUGGCGGACGGGUGAGGAAUACAUCGGAAUCUACUUUUUCGUGGGGGAUAACGUAGGGAAACUUACGCUAAUACCGCAUACGACCUACGGGUGAAAGCAGGGGAUCUUCGGACCUUGCGCGAUUGAAUGAGCCGAUGUCGGAUUAGCUAAUUGGCUGGGUAAAGGCCCACCAAGGCGACGAUCCGUAGCUGGUCUGAGAGGAUGAUCAGCCACACUGGAACUGAGACACGGUCCAGACUCCUACGGGAGGCAGCAGUGGGGAAUAUUGGACAAUGGGCGCAAGCCUGAUCCAGCCAUACCGCGUGGGUGAAGAAGGCCUUCGGGUUGUAAAGCCCUUUUGUUGGGAAAGAAAAGCAGCAGGUUAAUACCCCGCUGUUCUGACGGUACCCAAAGAAUAAGCACCGGCUAACUUCGUG
rnacentral:rRNA from 1 species